rnacentral:rRNA from 1 species
UGGGGAAUAUUGGACAAUGGAGGGAACUCUGAUCCAGCAAUUCUGUGUGUGUGAAGAAGGUUUUAGGACUGUAAAACACUUUUAGUAGGGAAGAAAAAAAUGACGGUACCUACAGAAGAAGCAACGGCUAAAUACGUGCCAGCAGCCGCGGUAAUACGUAUGUUGCGAGCGUUAUCCGGAAUUAUUGGGCUUAAAGGGCAUCUAGGCGGUAAGACAAGUUGAAGGUGAAAACCUGUGGCUCAACCAUAGGCUUGCCUACAAAACUGUUGAACUAGAGUACUGGAAAGGUGGGUGGAACUACACGAGUAGAGGUGAAAUUCGUAGAUAUGUGUAGGAAUGCCGAUGAUGAAGAUAACUCACUGGACAGAAACUGACGCUGAAGUGCGAAAGCUGGGGGAGCAAACAGG